rnacentral:rRNA from 1 species
GACGAACGCUGGCGGCGUGCUUAACACAUGCAAGUCGAACGGUGAAGCGCCUUCCUUUUUGGUGGGUGUCGAUGAGUGGCGAACGGGUGAGUAACACGUGAGUAACCUGCCCCCUUCUUCUGGAUAACCGCAUGAAAGUGUGGCUAAUACGGGAUAUUCUGGGUCUGUCGCAUGAUGGGUCUGGGAAAGAUAUUGUUUCGGUGGGGGAUGGGCUCGCGGCCUAUCAGCUUGUUGGUGGGGUGAUGGCCUACCAAGGCGGUGACGGGUAGCCGGCCUGGGAGGGUGGACGGUCACACUGGGACUGAGACACGGCCCAGACUCCUACGGGAGGCAGCAGUGGGGAAUAUUGCACAAUGGGCGAAAGCCUGAUGCAGCGACGCCGCGUGAGGGAUGGAGGCCUUCGGGUUGUGAACCUCUUUCGCCAGUGAAGCAGGCCUGCCUCGUUUGUGGGUGGGUUGACGGUAGCUGGAUAAGAAGCGCCGGCUAACUACGUG